rnacentral:lncRNA from 10 species
GGGAAGGUCAAGGUACAGCUAAUUUCAAGAGCGGUCGAAACCAGGAACUUACACAUUCUCUCUCUCUCCUUUGUUUCUACUUCCUUUAGUCACUUCCAUUCUCUAUUACGAAGGCUGACCUUUGUCCAUAUGACAAGAAACAGAGCCAAGAACAGAAACUGAGUUUUAUGUUUUAAAGCUUCUCUCACCGGAAAGAAAAGUUGCAUGAAUUUAUGCCUCUAACAACCAUCUGUGAGAGCUUUCAUCCUGCUGACAAUAACUUACUAGACAAUAAAUGAAUCUCAUCCCUAUCAAAUUUACAUCUCUCAUUACUAGCCCAUUGCCACUUACUCCUGAAUUGCUGCAAUAGUCACCAGAUUGGCCUCCAUGUCUCCA